UGUUUGGCUGCUCAGGCUCUUAAGAGCUCUACUUCUUGUAACAUUCAUUUUACUCCAGAUGAAGACUGCUGCUCCCUGAGUUUUGGAAGAUAGAAAUGAAGCUUCUAAAAACAAGAAGGAAAAUGGAGAAUGAGCUACUUGGAUGAAAGCUUUUCAGCUGAUUGAUAAGGCUGUUGGAUUAGGGCUUGAUUCAGCUGCUCUGAAACAUAUUGCAAAGCUCCCACCUCCUCAGGACAUAGCCAGGACAUGGAACUUCUGUCCAUCACCAUCAAUGUCACACUUAGGAUUCAAGCUUAAAUCACAAUCUUAUUUUCUAGUAGUGAUGGAAGAUCCAUCAACAGAGAUUAUCAGUAAACAUCUUACAAUUGCUUUACACUAGAAAGGCAUGAGAAAAGAAGCCCGAAUACAAGGAAGUUAAGGGACCUUCUUCAUGCUUCCUUGUUAGGGCAGUGGGAGACAUGAUAACAUUGCCUGACUCUGCACACCACAGCUGAGGUGACCACAUAAAAUAUGCUAAAACUAAGAUGCAUUUAAUACCAAAAUUCAUCCUGUUUUUAGUACAGAAAAAGUUGUCUGGCAGAUUACAUUGUUAUUUUGCUACUUGACAGGCAAAAUAAAUGGAUUAUUAAUUAGGACUAUUAUUAAGAAUUUUUUGUUGUCCUCUGAAUUUUGAUUAUCUGGUCUACUGACUUUCACCAUCUCAUCAGCCCGGUGUCACUAACUGCAAAUAAAAAGCUGUAUAUAAACCA